rnacentral:rRNA from 1 species
AUUGAACGCUGGCGGCAGGCCUAACACAUGCAAGUCGAGCGGGGUUUUCGGACCUAGCGGCGGACGGGUGAGUAAUGCGUAGGAAGCUGCCCGAUAGAGGGGGAUACCAGUUGGAAACGACUGUUAAUACCGCAUAAUGUCUACGGACCAAAGUGUGGGACCUUCGGGCCACAUGCUAUCAGAUGCGCCUACGUGGGAUUAGCUAGUUGGUGAGGUAAUGGCUCACCAAGGCGACGAUCUCUAGCUGGUUUGAGAGGAUGAUCAGCCACACUGGAACUGAGACACGGUCCAGACUCCUACGGGAGGCAGCAGUGGGGAAUAUUGGACAAUGGGCGCAAGCCUGAUCCAGCCAUGCCGCGUGUGUGAAGAAGGCCUUCGGGUUGUAAAGCACUUUCAGCGAGGAGGAAGGGUGGUGUGUUAAUAGCACAUCAUUUUAACGUUACUCGCAGAAGAAGCACCGGCUAACUCUGUGCCAGCCGCCGCGGUAAAAC